GUGAAUUCUGGGCGCUCUUUUCUGCGGAAGCGAUUAGAGGCCUGACCUCCACUUAUCCUAACACUGUGCACUUUAUAAAUUGAAGCGGGCUUUGCUUGCUACAAUUUCUCAUCUUUAGCACUAGUCAAAGAAUGUAAAUAAAACAUAACAAAGA
rnacentral:misc_RNA from 1 species